GGAAGUAAAAGUCGUGACAAGGUCUCCGUUGGUGAACCAGCGGAGGGAUCAUUACAGGACUCGCAAGACUCCUACAACCCUGUGAACUUAACUAUAAGCACGUUGCUUCGGCGGGUGUCUCGGAGGGGGUUCUCCCUCCCCGAGACGCUAAACCCGCCGGCAGCCUACUAUACUCUGCCUCUUUGCGUUGGCAUCUCGAGUACAAUCAAACAAGUUAAAACUUUCAACAACGGACCUCUUGGUUCUG
rnacentral:misc_RNA from 1 species